GAUGAAGAACGCAGUGAAAUGCGAUAAGUAAUGUGAAUUGCAGAAUUCAGUGAAUCAUCGAAUCUUUGAACGCACAUUGCGCCCGCUAGUAAUCUGGCGGGCAUGCCUGUUCGAGCGUCAUUUCAACCAUCAAGCUCCUUAGCUUGUGUUGGGGACCUGCGGCUGCCGCAGCCCCCGAAAUGCAGUGGCGGGCUCGUUGUCACACCGAGUGCAGUAAUCAUUCUUCUCUCCGGGCGUGGCGGCGGGUUCCGGCCGUAAAAUCACCAAUUUAUCAAGGUUGACCUCGGAUCAGGUAGGAAUACCCGCUGAACUUAAGCAUAUCAAUAAGCGGAGGA
rnacentral:misc_RNA from 1 species